GAUGAACGCUGGCUGCGUGCCUAAUACAUGCAAGUCGAGCGAACAGACGAUGAUCUUUCUCCUCUGACGUUAGCGGCGGACGGGUGAGUAACACGUGGAUAACCUACCUAUAGUACUGUGAUAACUUCGGGAAUCCGGAGCUAAUACCUUCUAAUAUAUUUAACCGCAUGGUUCAAUAGUGAAAUUCGGUUUUUCUGUCUCUUAUAUAUGGAUCCGCGCCGCAUUAUAUAGUUGGUAAGGUAACGGCUUACCAAGGCAACGAUGCGUAGCCGACAGGAGAGGGUGAUAGGCCACCCUGGAACUGAGACAAGGUACAGACUACUAAGGGAGGCAGCAGUAGGGAAUGUUAAGCAAUGGGAGAAAGCAUGACGGAGAAAAGCCGAGUGAGUGAUGAAGGUACUCGGAUCGUAAAACUAUGUUACUAGGGAAGAACAAAUGUGUAAGUAAAUAUGCACGUCUUGAAGGUACCUAAUCAGAAAGCAACGGCUAACUACGUG
rnacentral:rRNA from 1 species